GUAGAAUAGGGUUGAGAAACGUAUCAGCCAUGAUCGAAUGGUGGAACAGACUCGAUGGAAUUGGGAGAGGGAUACCACCAAACACGGACCAUUCUUUUGAACAUUAAGCUUUUUUUUAAGGGGCGCUGUGGGAAACCGACAACACACAUACAAAAAAAAACAAUCACAUGACUUGCCAGAUUCAGUCCGUCCGACUGCUACAGUAUCUCAAUAACUUCAUGCCAACCCUGCGAUUAAUAACGUUUAAUUCAUUGCCAAUUUUAAAAAGCCAGCCCAUCAACCCGCAAAGUUAAGGAUGUGGUCAGCUGUGUCAUACCUGUGAAGAAGGGACGCCGACGGGCAAUUUAACUCCGAGAUAAAGCCGGGAUGAUCAGCGAAGACAUCGGGAAGAGGGCAUCCUGCUGACACUAAGCUGCCGUGUGAGGAAAUGGCACCAUACCCAGAGAAAUGGUGCCAGCAUUUAGAAUUAAAGCUGUAUUUUCAGGAGGGAAAAUAAAUGGUCCAAACAGUG